rnacentral:sRNA from 1 species
GCCGCCGUCGCCAGGGCCCGGACUCGGACGCGUGGUAGCCUAGAGUCCUGGGGAGCUUCUGUCCACCUGUCCUGCAGAGGAGUCGUUUCCAGCCCGGCUGCCGCAGGAUGGGUGAGUUCAACGAGAAGAAGACAACAUGUGGCACCGUUUGCCUCAAGUACCUGCUGUUUACCUACAAUUGCUGCUUCUGGGUGAGGAGGGGUCGCCUUGCCCCCACCCCCACCCCCACCCCUCCCAGGCCACCAUCAGACCUGGGCAGAUGCGGUGACCUUUGUGUACUGCUUGUAGCUGGCUGGCCUGGCUGUCAUGGCAGUGGGCAUCUGGACGCUGGCCCUCAAGAGUGACUACAUCAGCCUGCUGGCCUCAGGCACCUACCUGGCCACAGCCUACAUCCUGGUGGUGGCGGGCACUGUCGUCAUGGUGACUGGGGUCUUGGGCUGCUGCGCCACCUUCAAGGAGCGUCGGAACCUGCUGCGCCUGGUCAGGAGGGCGCAGGGCCACGGGGUGGGGGUGGUGCAGAUGGGCCCAAGGAGGUUGUCGCUGCAGGCUUUGAACCUGUGCCUUGCUGUGCUCACCU